GGGCCCCGGCCACAAGCAGCGGAGCGUGUGGUUUAAUUCGAUGCUACACGAAGAACCCUACCAGGGUUGACAUACAAGUAGUAGGGAAAGGAAACUGGACCGACCCUUCGGGAGCUUGAACAGGUGCUGCAUGGCUGUCGUCAGCUCGUGUCGUGAGAUGUUCGGUUAAGUCCGCUAACGAGCGCAACCCUCGCUGUGUGUUACAAGUGUCACACGGAACUGCCGGUCAUAAACCGGAGGAAGGUGGGGAUGACGUCAAGUCAGCAUGGCCUUUAUAUCCUGGGCUACACACACGCUACAAUGGGAAGGGACAAUAGGUUGCGAAACCGCGAGGUGGAGCCAAUCCAGCAAACUUCCCUCAGUUCAGGUUGCAGGCUGCAACUCGCCUGCAUGAAGUUGGAGUUGCUAGUAAACGCAGGUCAGCCAUACUGCGUUGAAUACGUUCCCGGGGCUU
rnacentral:rRNA from 1 species